CACGUAGGGCGCAAGCGUUGUCCGGAAUUAUUGGGCGUAAAGAGCUCGUAGGCGGUCUGUUGCGUCCGCUGUGAAAACUCGGGGCUUAACCCCGAGCCUGCAGUGGAUACGGGCGGACUAGAGGUAGGUAGGGGAGAAUGGAAUUCCCGGUGUAGCGGUGAAAUGCGCAGAUAUCGGGAGGAACACCGGUGGCGAAGGCGGUUCUCUGGGCCUUACCCUGACGCUGAGGAGCGAAAGCGUGGGGAGCGAACAGG
rnacentral:rRNA from 1 species